UACGAAGGGGGCUAGCGUUGCUCGGAAUCACUGGGCGUAAAGCGCACGUAGGCGGAUUGUUAAGUCAGGGGUGAAAUCCUGGAGCUCAACUCCAGAACUGCCUUUGAUACUGGCGAUCUCGAGUCCGGGAGAGGUGAGUGGAACUGCGAGUGUAGAGGUGAAAUUCGUAGAUAUUCGCAAGAACACCAGUGGCGAAGGCGGCUCACUGGCCCGGUACUGACGCUGAGGUGCGAAAGCGUGGGGAGCAAACAGGAUUAAGAAACCCUGAGUACGU
rnacentral:rRNA from 1 species